AUACGGAGGGUGCAAGCGUUAUUCGGAAUCACUGGGCGUAAAGGGCGCGUAGGCGGUUUGAUAAGUCUGAUGUGAAAUCCUAUGGCUCAACCAUAGAACUGCAUUGGAAACUGUCAGACUAGAAUACUGAAGGGGCAGAUGGAAUUAGUGGUGUAGGGGUAAAAUCCGUAGAUAUCACUAGGAAUACCGAAAGCGAAAGCGAUCUGCUGGGAAGUUAUUGACGCUGAGGCACGAAAGCGUGGGGAGCAAACGGGAUUAGAAACCCCAGUAGUCC
rnacentral:rRNA from 1 species